rnacentral:rRNA from 1 species
CAGCAGCCGCGGUAAUACAGAGGGUGCAAGCGUAAAUCGGAUUUACUGGGCGUAAAGGGCGCGUAGGUGGUUAUUUAAGUGAGAUGUGAAAGCCCCGGGCUUAACCUGGGAACUGCAUCUUAUACUGGGUAACUGGAGUGCAGUAGAGGGUAGUGGAAUUUCCGGUGUAGCGGUGAAAUGCGUAGAUAUCGGAAGGAACACCAGUGGCGAAGGCGGCUACCUGGACUGAGACUGACACUGAGGCGCGAGAGCGUGGGGAGCAAACAGGAUUAGAGACCCCAGUAGUCCCUGUCUCUUAUAC